UACAGAGGGGGCAAGCGUUGUUCGGAAUUACUGGGCGUAAAGCGCGCGUAGGCGGCUUUGUAAGUCAGAGGUGAAAGCCCGGAGCUCAACUUCGGAAUAGCCUUUGAGACUGCAUCGCUUGAAUCCGGGAGAGGUGAGUGGAAUUCCGAGUGUAGAGGUGAAAUUCGUAGAUAUUCGGAAGAACACCGGUGGCGAAGGCGGCGACCUGGGUAGAUACUGACGCUGAGGUGCGAAAGCGUGGGGAGCAAACAGG
rnacentral:rRNA from 1 species